UACGGAGGGUGCGAGCGUUGUUCGGAAUCACUGGGCGUAAAGCGCGUGUAGGCGGCCCACUAAGUCUGAUGUGAAAGCCCGGGGCUCACCCCCGGAAGUGCAUUGGAAACUGGUGGACUCGAGUCCCGGAGAGGAGAGUGGAAUUCCUGGUGUAGCGGUGGAAUGCGUAGAUAUCAGGAGGAACACCGGUGGCGAAGGCGGCUCUCUGGUACGUGACUGACGCUGAGACGCGAAAGCGUGGGGAGCAAACAGG
rnacentral:rRNA from 1 species